rnacentral:tRNA from 1 species
GCCCAGGUGGCGGAAUUGGCAGACGCACUAGCUUCAGGAGCUAGCGAGCUUUACGCUCAUGGAGGUUCGAGUCCUCUCCUGGGCA